UUUGGGGUGAUUCGGUAUGCAGCAGUAAUAGCCACCACCAUCUCCCUGAACAUCAUUCUUUAAACCUGUGUUGAUAACUAGUACACACAGCGCCUGCAGGGCCCCACCCUGUCUCCUGGCCAAAGAGACUCAAGAAAUCCGGGCAGAGAAUGGUGCUCCCUGCUGCCCAGCGGAGAUGACCACUUCACGGAGAGCAGAGAGAGGAAGGAGGAGGAGAGCGAAAAGAAAGGUCCUCUUUCAGGCUGAGGACGCUGUGGAGUGGCCUCCCCUGGCCUGCCAAGAGCUGACUCACCGGCCGGGACACAGCAUUACAGGUGCACUCAGCACAGACAAUGGAUGCUUUUUAUACACAGCCCCACGCCUGACCGAGACUGACCACUGGGGUCAGGUAGAGACGGUGCCCCAGGGAGUAUGGGCCUGGAGGCAUGAGUAGGAGAGGACCUGGCCUGGAAGCUGCCAUUCUCCAGCCUUCCAGAGCUGGGGUCUGAGCAUUCACAGCCAUGGAGACCCUGCAAUUUCAUGGCCAAGGGACUUCUGAGGUUGGAGGCAGGGAGAAGCGCAGGGUUACUGACACGCAGGCUGUUCACGGCUCUGACAUCGGCAGCUGUGUGAACGGGGGCAAGAUCCUGAGGCUCCCUGGGCCUCAGCCUUCUCAUCUGUACCAUGGAAGAGAUGGCAGCAACCCAGUGGGCUGUGCAGGUAUGAGGGGUGGUGAUUAGUGGGCUGGGCCCUGCAGUCCACUCCACAUAGCGCCGAGCCCAUCUGCCUUCUCCUCUCUGGGCCAGGGCGUCUUUCCUGUUCUCUUGGCCCCAUGCUGGGGUCUCUGGCAUCCGCAUGAUCCUCCCAUCCCUCCUCCUCAGCAUCCCUCCCUGGUGAGCCUGGCUCCU